rnacentral:rRNA from 1 species
UACGUAGGGCGCAAGCGUUGUCCGGAAUUAUUGGGCGUAAAGAGCUCGUAGGCGGCCAGUUGCGUCUGCUGUGAAAUCCCGGGGCUCAACCCCGGGCGUGCAGUGGAUACGGGCUGGCUAGAGGCAGGCAGGGGAGAACGGAAUUCCCGGUGUAGCGGUGAAAUGCGCAGAUAUCGGGAAGAACACCCGUGGCGAAGGCGGCUCUCUGGGACGGUACUGACGCUGAGACGCGAAAGCGUGGGGAGCGAACAGG